ensembl:lncRNA novel transcript, antisense to MCEE
UCUGGGACUCCAACUAUAUUCUGCUAGAACUUUUGACCAUGUCCUACAUCUGUCUUAUGCUCUAUUCUGUUUUCUUUUUCUUCCAUAUUUUUUACCUCUUGAUUUUGGAAUUCUAGUUUCUAGAACUGUGAAAAGAAUAAUUUCUGUUUUAAGCCACUAAGUUUGUGAUCAUUUAUUAUAGCAGCCCUAGAAGACAAAUAUAACUACCACACAUCAUACCGAAAUUGAACAACGAAGUAGAUGGAUGGCUGAUAGUGGGAGCUAAGUUUCUCACUGUUGGAAUGAGAAGAUAAAGGCUAGUGUGGUCUAUGUGGUAAUGGAUUAGAGCUGGAGACGUCAGUAUGCUCUGAGGAGUUUAUGACAUUUCAUGAAUUCUAUAAUAUAGUUAUAUACAGAAAUGUGUAUAGAUAUGUGUAUAUAUACAGUAUACACACAUAUAUAUCUCCCUGUUGUCCUGGCUCAGUAGGGCAAGAACCAAUGACACACCCAGUAGCAAUAAGCACACUUAGAACCUAGAUCUUGGCUUCUAAUACCAUUCUCCAGUAGUAGGAACCAGGGCUCCUAGAUGAAAUGUCUAAUUAUAUGGCUAGGGCAAAGAGUAAAGAAGAUGAAUUUGGAGCAUCUCAUAUAGAAGAUGAAUUUGGAGUAUCUUACAGUGCCAGAAAAAGAAAGGAAGUGCUUAAAAAACAAACACAAAACACAAAACCAAAAAUGAUCGGGGUAUGUCAAAGGGACAUAAGAAUCAACUGAAAGAGCUCCUAAUGGCCAAAGCUGGAACAAUCUGAGGGGAAAAAAAGUAGUAUUAGAUUGUAAUGCAAGUCAUAAAAUAAAUAUCCACAAGUCCAUACUGAUAUAACUCUCUAUUCCUUAAGUGUGGGCCUUGCAUAAUGACUUCCUUCCAAAAGAGGAUAGUAUGGAGGAGAAAAAAAGAACAGCUUUCCAGUGGAGAAACCUGACAACACCUCCUCACCUGGGAGAUCAAGGGUUCAGAUGGUUCCAGUCUUCUUGGAUUUAUUUCAGAAGAGCACAUGUUACCUAAGCUUCCACAAUGACUAUAUAGUCUAGUGGGGGCUAUGUGGAGUAUCCAUCAAAUGCUUGUCUCUGCUGAAAUUUUCACAGUGGAUAGUAAAAUAUUUUUUUAAU